UACGAAGGGUGCAAGCGUUAAUCGGAAUUACUGGGCGUAAAGGGCGCGUAGGCGGUUUGUACAGUCAGGUGUGAAAUUCCCGGGCUCAACCUGGGGGCUGCACUUGAUACGUGCUGUCUGGAGUUCGGAAGAGGGUCGUGGAAUUCCCAGUGUAGAGGUGAAAUUCGUAGAUAUUCGGAGGAACACCAGUGGCGAAGGCGGCUCACUGGCUCGAUACUGACGCUGAGGUGCGAAAGCGUGGGGAGCAAACAGG
rnacentral:rRNA from 1 species